GACGAACGCUGGCGGCGUGCUUAACACAUGCAAGUCGAACGGAAAGGCCAUGAUCUUGUUGGUUGCUUGAGUGGCGAACGGGUGAGUGACACGCGUGUAACCUGCCCCUGACUUUGGGAUAACUUCAGGGAACUGGGGCUAAUACAGGAUAGAAGCUCUUGCAGCGUGGUGGUGGAUGGUAAGAUACGGUGGUUGGGGAUGGAAUCGCGGGUUAUCCGCUGGUUGGGGGGGUUGUGGCUUACCAAGGCUUUGACGGGUAGCCGGCCUGAGAGGGGGACCGGCCACAUUGGGACUGAGAUACGGCCCAGACUCCUACGGGAGGCAGCAGUGGGGAAUAUUGCACAAUGGGCGGAAGCCUGAUGCAGCAACGCCGCGUGCGGGAUGACGGCCUUCGGGUUGUAAACCGCUUUCGCCUGUGACGAAGCGUGAGUGACGGUAAUGGGUAAAGAAGCACCGGCUAACUACGUG
rnacentral:rRNA from 1 species